CCUACGGGAGGCAGCAGUGGGGAAUAUUGGACAAUGGGGGCAACCCUGAUCCAGCCAUGCCGCGUGUGUGAAGAAGGCCCUCGGGUUGUAAAGCACUUUCAGUGAGGAAGAACGCCUGGUGGUUAAUACCCAUCAGGAAAGACAUCACUCACAGAAGAAGCACCGGCUAACUCCGUGCCAGCAGCCGCGGUAAUACGGAGGGUGCGAGCGUUAAUCGGAAUUACUGGGCGUAAAGCGCGCGUAGGUGGCUUGAUAAGCCGGUUGUGAAAGCCCCGGGCUCAACCUGGGAACGGCAUCCGGAACUGUCAAGCUAGAGUGCAGGAGAGGAAGGUAGGAUUCCCGGUGUAGCGGUGAAAUGCGUAGAGAUCGGGAGGAAUACCAGUGGCGAAGGCGGCCUUCUGGACUGACACUGACACUGAGGUGCGAAAGCGUGGGUAGCAAACAGGAUUAGAUACCCUUGUAGUC
rnacentral:rRNA from 1 species